CCUAUGAGUGAGACUAAAGCCCAGAUUUAAGGUUAGCUGCCAGCAGAUAUAUGCACAAAAAAGCAAAGUAGGGAAAAGAAGUAAAGAUGCUGUUGAACCAGAUCCUCAGCAGCUGUAAAUUGGCAGAGCACCACUGAAGUCAGUGCUGAUUCACUGCAGCUGAAGAUCAGGCCCUUAAUCUAAUUCUUAACAAAUCCACUCUCACCUCUCAAUUCUGAAGUAGCGUUCCCUUCCUGUCCCCCACAGCUGCACCACAUCUUCCAUCUCCCCUUUAGAUUCUAGCUGACAGUUUCAUUGCCUUGUGAGCACCGCUUAGCUGCAACCUGACUGUUCUGUCUUGGAUUGCUUCAAUAAAGAAGACUUGUGAGACUAAAAGCAACACACCUUCAUCUACAGUUGUCUUCAUUUGUGACCCUUGCGAACAGGCUACAGGUCCAAAAUUGGUCUUUGGUCUCAUUUUUCAGGAACCAGAAUAAGUGACGACUACCUCAUCCAUCAAAGUCAGUGGGAGCCUCCAUCACUUGUAUUCCACUCCCAUGGAGUAGUCUUUGCUAAAGGAUAUUGUAAAUUUCUAGGCAGUGUGAUUUGUUUUUCUCCAGUUAAUCCAUGGUAGCCUAGCGAUAUUUCCUCUGUCACAAUUUUCUUGUUCAAUAAAGCCCCACUGAUUGGCUGGAUUAGAGCACAUGCAAUCCAAUAUUUGGAACAGCUAGUCUACGCUGUUUAGUGGGUCUGUACAAAAUAUCUGCAUACUCUUUGUCUCUUCUUAUCCUAUAUACAUUCUAACAAUGGCCUCUGUAUUCCUGCUAGGGUUUUAUCUGGGGUGAUCACAGAGCGAUUUUUGAAACAAGUGAGAUGCCCUUGGGAAAAUACUCCUUUUUGACUGUGACUAUUCUUCCCACCCACAAAACUGUAUUUCCCCUAUCACUCCAGAUUUUGUUUACAUUGGCUGUAGUAGUGGUUUGACUUUUAAAGCCUAGAGCUCUUCUAGGUUGUUUGAGAUUUGAAUUGCCAGGCAUUUUCUAGAACUCAUUGGCCAUUUGUACCCAAAUGUUUUCUGGAGGAAUGGCUUCUGAGUCUGACAAACUGAGAGCUAGCAUUUCAGAUUUGCCAUAACUUAAUUUGAAUCCAGCAGCUUUCUCAAAGUCUUGGAUUUCUUUAGAUACGAAUUUUAAGGACAUGUUUGGGUUAGCUUUAUAUACUGCUAGAAUGUUUGUAUCUAUUUUCCUGAUGUGUUCCUGAAAGUUUUAUUCUGGUGACAAAUUCAUUGUUCCUUAUCCUCUGUGCAAAAGGCUCUAUGGCCAUUGCAAAAAAGUAAAGGAGACAAUGGACAUAGC